GAUGAACGCUGGCGGCGUGCCUAAUACAUGCAAGUCGAGCGAACAGACGAGGAGCUUGCUCCUCUGACGUUAGCGGCGGACGGGUGAGUAACACGUGGAUAACCUACCUAUAAGACUGGGAUAACUUCGGGAAACCGGAGCUAAUACCGGAUAAUAUAUUGAACCGCAUGGUUCAAUAGUGAAAGACGGUUUUGCUGUCACUUAUAGAUGGAUCCGCGCCGCAUUAGCUAGUUGGUAAGGUAACGGCUUACCAAGGCAACGAUGCGUAGCCGACCUGGGGGGUGGUCGCGCCCCCAGGGACAUGAACACCUGCCCAGCUCCCCCCGGGGGGCGGCAUGUGGGAUCUUCCCGCAAUGGGCGAAAGUUUGACGGACCAACCCCGGGUUGGUGAUGAAGGGUUUCGAUUCGUAAAACUUUUUUAUUAGGAAAAACCAAAUGUUAAGUUACCGUUCCCGCUUUUGACGGACCCAAAGAAGAAAGCCACGGCGAACUCCGG
rnacentral:rRNA from 1 species